UACGUAGGGGGCAAGCGUUGUCCGGAUUUAUUGGGCGUAAAGAGCGUGUAGGCGGUUUGGUAGGUCCGCUGAUGAAAACUCGAGGCUCAACCUCGAGACCGCCGGGUGGAAACCAUCAGACUAGAGCCGGAAGAGGGAGAGUGGAAUUCCUGGUGUAGCGGUGAAAUGACGCAGAUAUCAGGAAGAACACCCGUGGCUAAGGCGGCGCCUCUAGUACGGUACUGACGCUGAGACGCGAAAGCGUGGGGAGCGAACAGG
rnacentral:rRNA from 1 species